rnacentral:rRNA from 1 species
AUUGAACGCUGGCGGCAGGCCUAACACACGCAAGUCGAACGGUAACAGGAAACAGCUUGCUGUUUCGCUGACGAGUGGCGGACGGGUGAGUAAUGUCUGGGAAACUGCCUGAUGGAGGGGGAUAACUACUGGAAACGGUAGCUAAUACCGCAUAACGUCGCAAGACCAAAGAGGGGGACCUUCGGGCCUCUUGCCAUCGGAUGUGCCCAGAUGGGAUUAGCUAGUAGGUGGGGUAACGGCUCACCUAGGCGACGAUCCCUAGCUGGUCUGAGAGGAUGACCAGCCACACUGGAACUGAGACACGGUCCAGACUCCUACGGGAGGCAGCAGUGGGGAAUAUUGCACAAUGGGCGCAAGCCUGAUGCAGCCAUGCCGCGUGUAUGAAGAAGGCCUUCGGGUCGUAAAGUACUUUCAGCGGGGAUGAAGGGAGUAAAGUUAAUACCUUUGCUCAUUGACGUUACCCGCAGAAGAAGCACCGGCUAACUCCGUG